rnacentral:misc_RNA from 1 species
CCAAUUCAAAGAGUCAGUUGUAGAGGUAAAACUCUGCUUCUGUCAUCUCAAACACUUGUGAACCGUAUUUCCAGACAGUGUCUAGGAUAAGUCUCUGCUCACUCGCCAUGGGCAGACGGCUGAUUGGCAACUUGUUGUCAAGUCCUUGGCACCGUCGCUGUUUAAUGGCUCUUAUAUAUAAAUGUCUAAGGACCCGUGACAAACUUUAAACGUUAAUA